rnacentral:rRNA from 1 species
CACUACGGCCAUGCUACCCUGAACAAGCCCAAUCCUGUCUCAUCUCAGAAGCUAAGCAGGGUCGGGCCUGGUUAGUACCUGGAUGGGAGACCAACUAGGAAAACCAGAUGCUAUAGGCG